rnacentral:rRNA from 1 species
AACGAACGCUGGCGGCAUGCCUAACACAUGCAAGUCGAACGAGACCUUCGGGUCUAGUGGCGCACGGGUGCGUAACGCGUGGGAACCUGCCCUUAGGUUCGGAAUAACUCCCCGAAAGGGGUGCUAAUACCGGAUAAUGUCUUCGGACCAAAGAUUUAUCGCCUUUGGAUGGGUCCGCGUUGGAUUAGCUAGUUGGUAGGGUAAAAGCCUACCAAGGCGACGAUCCAUAGCUGGUCUGAGAGGAUGAUCAGCCACACUGGGACUGAGACACGGCCCAGACUCCUACGGGAAGCAGCAGUGGGGAAUAUUGGACAAUGGGCGAAAGCCUGAUCCAGCAAUGCCGCGUGAGUGAUGAAGGCCUUAGGGUUGUAAAGCUCUUUUACCCGGGAUGAUAAUGACAGUACCGGGAGAAUAAGCUCCGGCUAACUCCGUG